GGCAACUGAGUUUGAACCUUUAAAAUAUCCCUUGUAAACACCACCUUGGCCAAGCUUUUGUGUCUCUUCAAAGUUGUUUGUUGCAUUCAACAGCUCAUAAUAACUCAUCUUCUUAGUCCAACACUCAUUUGGAAUUCAUCAUCCAUAUCCAGAUCAGAUAAGAAUAUCUUCAUAAAAAUCAUAAUCUGGUUGGCUUGUACUAAAAGACCACGACAUCAGCAUAUGUUCCUCAUCUACAGUUCCUGUUGAAGCUGAUAUGCCAACAAUAACAUAUUCUGGUAAGUGCUCUCUUAGAUCAAUGAUGUGUGAAAAGUUUUGUGGCUCUUGCCCUUCAUUCAAUAUGUAUCUAGUGCUCUCUUACUUUACACCUGGUUGUAUCCAGAUUGUCGAAUUAAUUAAGAUCAGAUGAGCAGUGGCUUUCAUUUUCUACAGUUUAUAUGACUAAGGAAUCGGUUAUGAAAAAAUUGAAUUGGAAUCUUAUACUUGUAGCCAAUUUUAUCCUAUCAAUCUGCAGUUGAUCUAGUUAAAGGAAACAAAUUUGAACUAGGUUUGGUGGGGUGUGCCCGGCUAUUGCAAUAGUGCAACGCAAAAGCGACACUUAUGACUAAGGAAUCGGUUAUGAAAAAAUUGAAUUGGAAUCUUAUACUUGUAGCCAAUUUUAUCCUAUCAAUCUGCAGUUGAUCUAGUUAAAGGAAACAAAUUUGAACUAGGUUUGGUGGGGUGUGCCCGGCUAUUGCAAUAGUGCAACGCAAAAGCGACACUUGAGAGACCCAAUAGCAAGCUAUUGAAGUGGACUCUCCCCCUCAAGAAAUAAAUUUAAUAUCGUGUGAACCAUUGGCUCACAUAUCAGAUAUUAAACUGAUAAGAACAGAUACUACACUUGAUCUUAGCCAAAAGGCCGAGAAAGGUAUGAGUUGAAAUACAUGCUUGUUGUGUUUUUUAUAAUUGACAUCUGUUAUGUUUCUUACUUCACUAACCGAGGUGGGACUCUUAUGCAGCAAAUUAGAACAUUAGGUUUCGUAACUGCAAACUUGCUAUUAUAUCAUAAUACAAGUUGAAGAUCUCUACACUCUCAUUUCCUUCCUCUUGAUUCCAAAUAUUUUCACUUAGUGAGUAAACAUCAGGACCUUACUCACAUUUGACAGCAAAAUCUACUUUGCAAAUUAGCUUGUUUGCCUAUAAUAUUUUCUAUACUAGUGCUCCUAAUUGGUAGUUUGGUUGAAGUGAACACCAUUUUUAUGCCCACGUGUUUAUCAUUUAUUUAAGCAAAAUCAUUUCUAACAAUCACUGCCUUAGCCAAUUGUAGAAUAUGGAAGAACGACGUAUACACCAUAUUUUGUGACUGAAUCAAAAUGUUUGACAUACGAUAAAAUCUUCAGAUGCAAAUUGACAAUGCGGCGGGAAUAUGAUUUGAGGGAAGGCUUACUAUUAUACAAGUAAAACUACCAAAAUCAAAAAAUUGUUUUAUCUAUCUUUUUUCGUUUUUAUUUACAGUUUAUCUUCUUUUAUCUUGCCCUUGACAUUUCUGAGUGGCAUUAUAUUUUUCAACAUGCAAUAGAAAUUAAGUACAAUUUCUUCUCUAGAAUUAUUGUUUCACAUAUGUUAUUGUUGUGCAUUUUAUGAAAUUUAGUUUGCAUUUGCAACAUAUAAUCCCACCGUCCAUUAUUUUCCUGGAUUUUUCAAUAUGCAAUAGAAAUUAAAUGCAAUUUCUUCUCUUAGAAUUGUUAUAUUGUUAUUUCACAUAUGCUAAACCCGGUAUAUAUGUUUGUUCACUUUAAUAAUUCUAUGUGCUGCAUUCCACUACAAUGAUUAAAUGUAGCUAUUCAAUUUGUUUUAUACUCCAUUUCUCAAUACCUUACACUUUCUUUUUCGAUGUGUAACUCAACUACCAGGAGGCAAUGUAUUUCUCACCCUCUACCCGCCUUUUGAAAGUGUUUACCAAUUUGGGUAAGAAUAAUAGACAAAAGGCUUCAAACUGGGAUGGAUUGUUGAUGGUGUAGAGUGGAGUCGGAGACAGCAGAGCACGUGCUGCUGUUGCUGUGUAAUAAGAGCAAUCAAACUUGUCAAAGUCUGGACACGUGGAGACACAGAGCAUGCACUGCUGCUAAAUAGGAACAUUAAUUUCUAUCAUAAUUACAUCAAUUACUCAUUCUCAUCAUUGACAACUAGUACUGCAUAUAUCAAUGGAAAACAAUAUUUACCUUA